rnacentral:rRNA from 1 species
AUAUGCUCGUCUCAAAGAUUAAGCCAUGCAAGUCUAAGUUCACAUCAUAUAAAGAUGAAACUGCGAAGCGCUCAGUAAAUCAGUUAUUGUCCGUUCGGUCAUAUCAGCCAUGGAUAACUGUGGUAAAUCUAGAGCUAAUACAUAGCAAAUCCCUGUAAUAGGGGAGCAUUUAUUAGACUCGACCAACUGGCUUCGGCCAUUUGAUGAAUCAUAAUAACUGAGCAUAUCGAACAUUAAGUUGUCGAUAGUCCGAUCGAAUUUCUGCCCUAUCAACUAGUUGGUGAGGUAGUGGCUCACCAAGGUUGUGACGGGUAACGGGGGAUCAGGGUUCGAUUCCGGAGAGGGAGCCUGAGAAACGGCUACCACAUCUAAGGAAGGCAGCAGGCGCGCAAAUUACCCAAUCCAGACUUUGGGAGGUAGUGACGAGAAAUACCGGAGUAGACCAUUAAUUGGUUCACUAUCGGAAUGAACGUAAUCUAAUACCUUCGAUGAGUAGCUACUGGAGGGCAAGUCUGGUGCCAGCAGCCGCGGUAAUUCCAGCUCCAGUAGUGUAUAUCAAAAUUGUUGCGGUUAAAACGCUCGUAGUUGGAUUACAAAAGCUCUAUAAUGGCCAAGUCUAGGUUUGGUUGUUGUGGGGUUUUUUUAUCGCGAGAGCCGUAUGUGGGAUUAAAUUCUCGUGUGCGGUCACUUGCGAAAUGUGCCUUGAAUAAAGCACAGUGCUCAAAGCAGGUGUACGCUUGAAUGUAAUAGCAUGGAACGAAUAUAUUGACCUUGUCAAGGUUGGUUGUUGGCAGUGGUCUCGAUUAAAAGGGACAUUUGAGGGCGUUAGUACUUGGUGGCGAGGGGUGAAAUCCUUAGACCCAUCAAAGACUAACUAAUGCGAAAGCAUUCGCCAAGAGUGUUUUCAUUAAUCAAGAACGAAAGUUGGAGGUUCGAAGACGAUCAGAUACCGUCCUAGUUCCAUACAGUAAACUAUGCCACGCGCAAAUUACCCAAUCCAGACUUUGGGAGGUAGUGACGAGAAAUACCCGGAGUAGACCAUUAAUUGGUUGCUCACGCAAGUGCGAAAUUUAAAGAAAUUGACGGAAUGGCACCACCAGGAGUGGAGCCUGCGGCUUAAUUAUAUCAAAAGUGUCGCCAAUUAUAAAACGCUCGUAGUUGGAUUACAAAAGCUCUAUAAUGCCCAAGUCUAUACAAUGAUUGGUGGUGCAUGGCCGUUCUUAGUUGGUGGAGUGAUCUGUCAGGUUUAUUCCGGUAACGAGCGAGACCACGAUCUUUAAUUGAUUACGGUUAUAAUGUGUUAGCCGAUCUUAAAGAGACCACCGGAGUUAAGCCGGGGGAAGCGUGGCAAUAACAGGUCUGUGAUGCCCUUCGAUGUUCUGGGCUGCACGUGCGCUACAAUGGCAGUGACAAUAAGUACCUACUCCGAAAGGGGCGGGGAAUCUUAGAAAUCGCUGUCUUGCUUUGGAUUGAGCCUUGUAAUAAUUGCUCAUGAAAGAGGAAUUCCUCGUAAGCGCGAGUCAUCAGCUCGUGUUGAAUAC